GAGCAGGAAGCUCCUUGAAAAACACACAGUGGGGACAGGAACUGGGUCUGGGACAGGUACGUUGGCAGGCACAGAGGCUCUGGAGAGAGACAGGUUCUCCAGGGUGGUGAAAGGGAAUGAGCCAGAAGGAAAAACAGGUCUGCCUGGAGGGAGGGAUAAAGCAAAGCUCAUAAGAAAGAGUCUGGAAGCCAGGCCGCUGGGAGAAGACUUUAAACCAGAGUGGAAAUGGGAGAAGUUGCUGGGAGGAGGAUGUGCAACCUGGGAAGACUAGGAGCUGUCCCUGUGCUCUGCUCAAGGUUUGAGGGAGAGCUUGCUGGGCAAAGGGGAUCAGAUGGAGAGCUGGCGUGGGGCAAGGGAAAAGGACCCCAAGUCUGGGUGCGGCAUGCAACAUGGCCUUUGGGAAGAGGGAAUUCAGUAGAGACAGUGAUGUAGUAAUGGGAAUGACAGAAACUGGAGGAAGGAGGCAGAGCAGAAAGGUGAGGAUUUAAGAAUGGGAAUGAAGACCACCUGGAAAACAGUCAGCAGGUACCUGAAAUACUCUAAGAAUAUACCUCACCCCCUUGGAGUGCUGGAGCUUGUGCCAGCCAUGACAUCCCUCACAGAGGGAAAUUUCCACAUUGCUGAUGGCCUGCAUCGAUGUCAACCCAGGAUUACAUUACUGGCGUUAUCUCUACUUGGGAAGGAAGUACAUAUUCCAUAAAGCAACAGUACUCAGGCUGCACAGUAACACACUCCCCAGUUAUCAAACACCAGGAUAAAGGCAACCAGUGCAGAAGGAUAUGCCAGGCUCAGACACUGAACUAAGGUCAGGGAACCCAGGCAAGUGCCUGAACAACUUCCACCUCAUUUACUGCAAAACUCAAACUGUUUUGUGCACCUUGUGAGGAACGGCUGGGCAAGCAAGCACAGCGCUGUGGCUGGGGCAGGUGACUGCUGCUUUCAGAAAGGAUUUUUAGCCUCUGGAAUCUGUGGGAUGCAAAGCACAGUCUAUAAACAGAGCCUGCCCAGUGCUCCACUAAUUUUGCAGUCAGCACUGCCCAGGUGCCUGGGCUGACAUUUUGAAGCCUGACUUGCAGAAAUGAAGAACUCUUGCGGAUAUAUCUGCAAUAACUGAGAAUUUAUACAACUACUGACUCAAUUAGAUGCCUGGCCAUGUUCUACUUUCUGACAAAAUCAGGCCAUUGAGUAUUUCUAAUUGGAUCUCUGAAAUGAAAAGAUAUUUUUUACUAUUUUGCCUGUACACCCAAGUUCCUCGUCUGUAAAAUAAGGGCAACACCAGUUCUCACUACAGUGUUGAGAAAAUGAAUUAGAGUUUCUGAAGCACUUGGAUACCAUAGUGAUGAGUCCCAUGGAAAAGCUCAGGAGGAAAUGAAUAAAUCUGUCUUCAGAACAAUAUUUGAAUAGUCUGCUGUAAAUAAAGCACAGGCCACAUAGUGAACAGCGAGGAGAAAAUAAAAUUAUUACUUAGUGAGCACGGUCUAUUCUGUACAAUGAGUGAGGCCAGGAACCUGUUGAAAGAACAGCGUGUGAUCUAAUUAGAAUUAAAUACUGUAUCAUAAUGCAAAUGCAUGGAAGGGACAAAUUACAGUUGCAUAGGCCGCCUUAAUGUUGGUAUUUCUAAACUUUUAGACUCUUGAAUAUAAAAAAUAACUCCACUGUUAGGUGCAAAGGUGUAAUGCACAUGUAUAAAUGAUUUCCUCGCCCUUUAAUAGUGGGAGACAAUAUAUUUACCUCCUCUACCUCAGCCACUUAAGUGGAAAAAGUGUUUUUCUCCUCUUGGAGAUAUCUCAGCCUUACAGCCAAGAUUUAACGCUGUCAUUCACAUGCUGACAUAGAGAUUUAAAUCCAAAAUUUACCUUCUUUGGGAGUCUGUGCACAAUGAUCAGAGACAGACUAUUCUCCAGAGAGGGAGCCAGAAGAGGACCUUAUUUUGGUGAUUAAAAUUUUGUGUUUUGCUUGGAGUGCUUCCCAUUCCAAACCAGUCCCCUAGUUUUGGUGCAGAGGCAAGGUUAUGGAACAACAACUCGCCUGAUCUUUGCGACUCCUCAGUCCCGAGGCUACACUGAGCUUUCCCGACUCCUGCUGAGACUUGGAGCCGCUUCAGAGCGACUGUAAAUUGCACUGGGUUAUCUGUCGCCCACAAGAAGGGUGAUGGAAUUAGGAUUGCACUGUUCAGUGCCACUCUGGUCGUGCCUAUUUUUCUCAUCGUGAUUUCUCUAUUGCUUAGCGGGAUGUGAGGUGACACUCAAUCGUUACACCAAUUUAUUGUUAUCCAGAGAAUUUUCCGUUACCAGGCAUCCUCUGGCAGCUGGUAAAGGCAAUUUUGGAUAAGAAGGGGCUGCAGCACAAAUAAAGAUGUGGCUCGUUAAGUUUAAGACUUAGAGCUAUGAGAUACCUUCACUUUAACCUGCUGUGCUGCCUCCCUUGUGUGAGGCAUUGGCUCCAUUCAUGGACAACAUCUGGCACAUGGCCUGUCCGAUUAUUCCCAAUCUCCAUCCUGAUUCCAGCACCAGUGCCCAGCAAGAUGUGCUGUCUUUCAUCCUUCAACAGGGGCUAGAUUUAUCUUUCCAUUUAUUUUUCACAUUUAUUGGUCACAGAUGUGGUUUUGCAAACUGCUCUGAGGUUAAAAGUCAUCCUCUGGACUUUGCCAAGCAAAUUCUAGGUUAGCAGGUCAUAUGCCAGAAACCCUCCAACCCCAGCAUAUACUUCUGUCAUUCCUGAGGUCAACAGCAGUUCCAGCUCCUCACUGGAAUCAGGGAAGGUCAUAAAUGGAGGCAGAGCUUCCAAACACUGAGCUGAGUUCCCUGAGAUGGCUGAGAGGAAGGUGGAGCUCCUGGAGUGCCAGGUUGACAGAGUCUGAAACACAAACAGGGUAGUUGGUGUAAAAUGCUUUUAAAGGCUUCCCUUGCCGAGCAAGGGAGCUGCUGAUGUCUAAUCCAAUGUUUGUUUAUUUAGGGUUUUCAGAGGUAUAUGGAGGGAACCUAAAAUCCAAAAUGCAGGGUUUACUGGAAUCCAAUCUCCAGUUUAAAAGAAAAGGGAUUUGUUAUCAGGAAGUGCACAAUGAUGUGGGAUAUGGGUCUCUGAUCAUCCAGAAGGAGAGAAAUGCAAGUAACACCUAAGGGGAAAGGCUGAUAUUACUGCAGUCAAUGGGAUUUUUGUCAUCCAUGUCAGGAGCAUGAGAUCGCAUCUCGGGGAGCCUGUCAUGGGAUAACACCGUGCCACAGGUGCUCGUAGUGACUGUAUUUUCCUGUUUUGGUGGUUGUCAUUAGUCCUUGUUCUCAGAUGAGACACUGGUGACACACUGACCACUCCAUUCUGCUUCCCCACUGUCCAUGCCCUCACUUUUCCAGUGUCCCACUUCUCCCUGAGCUACAAUAACUCAUCUUGGGACUGAAAGACUUUGCACAUCCAGUAAGAGAGGAGACAGAUGAUCCAUGCCCUCUUGUGCAAACAGGAUCAGUCUCCUCUGCAUCUUAAAAACCACAUAAGCCAGGCAAGGAUUCCAGGUGGUGUUUAUCCCGAAGCUUUUCCAGCAAUCCCACAAGAAUGUUAAUUACUGACACCAACAAUCUUGUUCUCAUUCAUAUAACAGGAGUGCCUACAGGUCUUACCUGAGGUUGUGGGUUGUGUUAGAUACCAUAGGAUUGCACAGGAGAAGCACAGAGGGAUUUUAGUCCAGGUUAUCCUGACAGGAAGUCAGAACCAUGGAGAGGUGUUGAAGGUAGAGCCAGCAGAGCCACCUUUCACAUCUCCUGAGUCCCAGUGCUUCUGCUCUGUAAACACCACCACAUUUUCUCCUGUGCCAGGGGAAGUGAGAUGGCAGCGGUCUGAGAGAAUUCAAAGCAAGAGGAAAACUGUGGAGAGGAGAAAGGAUAAGAACAAAAGGAAAAGAAUUGAUGCUUAGUACACAGAAACAGUCAUUUGCCUCUGGGCUUGGGAAAUCAAAGAAAUAACCUUAGACCAACAGCUGAGGAUGCUUGAAAAACACAGCCCAUCGCUCCUGGGGAUCCCAGCACACCUCACAAACCUCACCUUUGCCCAUGGCAGGAACCAACAGCAGCACAGCCUGGCCCUUUCUGUGUGUUACCUGAAAGGGUUAGCUGAGGUGUUGGGUCCUAUGGCUGGAAUCAGAUGUGUUGGGGGAUUCCUGGAAAUGGAAAGAAAAGGCCACAUUAUCUGUGAGAGAUACAAACACAUCAGCCAGAGUUAGAUGAGCAAGUCCACACCUAAAACUUGAGACCAAAUAGACUUGACUGUUGUGUCAACACCUACAACUCCCACAAGUGUCCUUCCUCUUGGUCUGUAUCUCAGACUCUGAUUUUAGGUGUUUAAAACUGAAUAUACAGAAACAAUGAUACCAGGAGUAAUUUGCUUGGACAUAGUUGAAGUUGUCCCUCUCCUUUAAAUGGCAGGAACUGGAGGCACAGCAUGCUAUUAGAACCUUGUGAUGGAAGAGUAAAUAUAAGCAAAAUUACCUCAGUCUGCUAAUUCAACAAUUCAAAACCAGUCAUUGCUAUGAUGUAGUGAAGACAGGGACAAUGAACCACAGAAACAGGAAGGAAUAAAGAAUUUGGACAAUAGGCUGGGACAGAGAGUCCUGUUUGCUGUAAUAAUCUUGUUCAUGCACUCUCAGCCCUUUAAAGUCAUAGUUUUGGCUUUGCUUCCUCCAACUGGCAUGCUCAGACAAACCUCAUCACCCUUUCAAAUGCUAUGAAAGAAUUUCCUAUAAAUAUAAUGGAUUUUUCAUGGAGGAAAUAUUGGACUUCUUCAUUUUUACCAUGUUAUCUGACAAAGGAACAAACUUGAACAGUUGCAAAAUUAAACUUUUCAGAACAAGACCUGGUUUACAAAGGGCUUCCAUCCCCCAAGUUUAUAGCAUGCCACAGAAGGGUGCCUGGAGCACUGCUGGAUUCUUUUGCCACAGGAUCUGUACACUGUCAUCAUGGUGCUUCCCAAAUCACCUUCCUGCCAGGAAAUGUUGUGCUGCAGCACCUGGGAACACUGCAAAAUUCUGGACAAGACAUUGGUGAUGUAGCUGUCAGAGAUCUCCUCCCAGAGAGCAAUGGCAGUGAUGCAGCCCUGAUUUGCUAAGAAGAGAAACAAGCUUCUGUUCCCAGCAGUUCCUGGUUUAAAAGCAGAGUUAUUGACUCAUUCUGCAUGCAUUUUAUUUUUAAAUCAUUCUAACCUCUUGUAAUUCUUAAGCAUCUCUAAAACCAAAGUGAAUUAGCCGACAUUCCUUCCUACUGUUUCCAGUGCAAGCUCUUACCCCAUCAGCACAGUCUGACUCUUUCUCAGCUGUAGGACUGAGCACUGUGGGGACAUGAGGAGAGUUCAAAAAGCAAAGAACCCACUUUGUGCCAAGGGAUGGUGCUGUACUGAGAGCUCGGGCAGGGAGAAUGUGGGCAGCCUUCAGACGGGUGAAGAGUCUGACUCCUCAAGCUCCAAUCUGACACUUCUCACAGACAUUAAUUUCACUUUUUUUGUUGUUGCUUAAACAACCCUUCAGGGCAACACUUCUGCAAAAACACCACCUUUCUCCAACCUUUCCAUGCUUGUCCCAGGGGACCAGUGAUCAAAGCCAGGAAAGGAAACCAGGAGCUCUGAUGGGAUGUGGAACAUGGGUGAUGGAGCCGUGAGCCCAUAGGAUCUCCCUGACAGGUACUUGGCACAUCAGGAUUGCUGGGUCUGCUGUCACACAGGGGUUCUACCACUGGUGUUACUCCCUCAGCAUCUGAGUGGCAGGUUUAAAAUAAAAUUAUAUGAAUGCUACAGGCUGCAGGCCCUGGCUGAGCCCUGAAGUCAGACAACUUGAAACAACAAAUAUGCCUGGAUAGCAGUUCCCUAAGAAAUGUCAUCCUUCCACUGCUCUGCUGUUCCUCCUAACGGAACCUGACGGGACUUAUUGACUGCUCGCUAUUCCUGUAACUGCUUCGGAAGUUAUUGAUUCUGGGAAAUAUGAAAUGUGUCUCAGAGAGGUCAGAAUGUGCCUCUGUGUCCAAGUGAGACACUAAGGUCUGCAGAGGCGCUGAAUGAGGCAGAGGGAGCAGCAGGAAAUGAAAGGUGGGGAGUUGACCAACAGGGAUCAGUGGGGUUUGAACACCACUGCCACAAGAAGAGGUGAAGGUGCUGAUCCAGGUUCCUUGUGACCAGAAACCACCACAGUGUAAAUGUUGCCAAGGCUGUUGCUCCACCUGCUUUCCUCUGCACUAAUGCACAUUUUUAAGGGUUGCUCUUAGAAGGACCAAAAAUUGAAAUGCAUUUCCUCCUCCCACAGAGGAAGGCACAUGCUGGCAGGGGAAUCUGGGAGGAAAAUGCUUUUAUGCUAUACAGGCAAUGGACAUUUUGUGCACAAGAAAAGAUGCCUUCACAUUCCCAGAGGAAUUCAGCUAAAAAGCAUCACUUCCAAAAGCUGGAGAGAAUUCAGAUGCUUGGAACAAACUUAUAUUGAUAAAAGUGGGGAAUUGGUCAAGAAAGAUGUUCAGGCUAUCAGAAGUUGUUAUCAGAAGUGUCCUUCGUUUCUGAAAGCACAGAAGUGUGGGAGUCCAGUGUUUUCCUGCUGACCUCCAGCAAUCAGUAGCACUCAGCUGCUCCUUCUGGGGUGUCAUCGUGGUGUUCACCACUCCUGAGGCUGCCAGGACAUUCUGGGAACCACUGCCUUUGGACAAGGCAGCACAGGGGACCACAAGGAACAUUCUUCAUCCAGUUUCAGGCAAAUGCAGCAGUGCCUGGGGUGUGGUGCUUCCAGAAGACUCCUGAAGAAGCACCUGCUGGGCACAGGCUCCUGCUGUGGGAAGGGAGCAGUGGGAACUCAGACACAAGAGCAGGUAUCUGCUGUUUCACACCAGGAAGAGGAAGAACUUGGUCUUGUUCCUGGCUACAGAUGGCUCUGACACAUGAAAGGUUUCACUGAUUCUCAGUCGAGACAAGUGAAUGACGGCUGUCCUGUUAGAAGUGACUAAGGAGGUGGCACAGCUCCAGGCAGGAUGGAGGAUCCA
ensembl:lncRNA